UGGGGAGUGGCUGGGGAAGGUGAUUUAUUAAUGAACGUCACACAAAAGUCAGGACUCCACAGUGGCUCCUUCUAAAGGUCACCUCUAAAGGCAACUCUUAGAGGUAAGGACCAUUUCAAGUAAAGUUGUAAGGAUCUGCUUUUGAGAACACAGCCUAGGGUGCCGACAGAGAUCAGACCUCACUGGAGGACCUCUUCCUAAAUGAUCCCUUCAUCCCAGACACUGCCCUCCAUGCCUCAGUCUCUGCAGAAGAGGAGAAGGAGAAUCCUCCUCAACAAGAGGAGGGUGGCUGGCUUUUACACAGGGAGUGGCUAGACUGGUCUCUUCGCAGAGAAUAGAACCAGAAAACAGACAUCAGACAGACUGAGGUCGGGCAGCAGGGUGGCAUUUCUGUCUUGGACACACAGCAUGAGUGUGAGGGAAGCAGCAGGGUGCCCCACUGGAGGUCCCUACCCAUGAUGGCCUAUCCAUCUCCCUGUCUUGGUUCAGGGGGAGAGGUCUGGAAAUCCUUUGGAGGUGGUGGCCAGAUUGCAUCCAUAGUCCCAGCCAGACCCUCAGCAAUGCCAAGAGCCUCUUAGCUGCAGGUCACUGUGCUCCACUGUCUGUAGGCCACUGCCCCACCUUCAGGGCUAGAGUUUCUUUCUUCUGGAAACCACACAGGACAUGGGAAUCCCAGACUGGGCUGCCCUUCCUGGAAGAGGAUGUGUGUGUGAGCCCAGCAGCCGCUGUGAUGGGGCCCGAGGUGGUGAUAUUGGCAAAAAAAAAGGGGAGCUAAGCAGCAUGGUGACAGCAGUGGUGACAAAGCCUCCAGUACAUGUAGCCAUGAUGAGUGACACUCAGUAGGGUAGGCUGUGGCGCCUUUAUCCAGAGUCUAAAUGCUUGCUUUCAGUUCCACCUCCAUAUAUUACAUGCUGUGUGGCCUGGGGACAGUAGCUUUCCCUUUCUGACCUCGGUUUCUUCAUCAGUAAAAUGAAGAUGCCAAUACCACCUGUCCUGUCUUCCUCAAUGUCUCCAACCAGCAGGUGCCUUUAACAUGCCACGAGGCAAGAGUGAACUCAGGUGGAGGUACUUUGCUAAAAGCAGCCCAGGUAGGAGGAGAUGACUGAGUAGAACUGGCCGUGUUAUCCUCAGAAUGAUUUCUUGCUUCCCCAGGAGACUCCUGUUGCUGUGACGAUUUUUCCUGGUUCUCAGUCCCCGGACUCUGGGAUAGCUGAGAUCUUCUGGCUCUCACCUCACAUAGCAUCUCACAGUGAUGUCCUGGCUUCCUGCCCAGGGCCCCAAUCACCAGUUCUGGUGCUGACCCUGCAGGUCCUAGCUCCCUCCCAGCCGGCCUAGAGACAGGGCCCAGGCUCAUUGGAAGGAACAACAGGAGACUUGCCUGAAAGUCAAAUGUUCUACCCAACAGGACCUGAUUAUGGUGGCCAAGGGGCUGUACCUGGGCAGUCUCACCCAAGGGACACUUCUCAAGGGUCAGGAGAGUUUCAGCUCUGUGUUUACACAUGAUUCUAGGCUGAGGGAGAGAGAAAAAGCAGGGUAGGGGGUGGCAGAUUAGGCGAGGGAAUGUGUCCCCUAGAUGGUCCCUUAGCUCAUAGUGGAAGCGGGCUCUAGAGCGCCUUGCCCAUGCCCUCUUCAUGCUCUAGAGAGGUGGGCAAAGGACAAAGUAUGCGACUACCCAGGAGAACCAGCCUCCAGAUUGAGACUGGAGAUGACGGCCACUCAGUCCCCUCCAUUGCAAAAAGAAUAAAAGAAAGGAGUAGGAUUGGCCAUUGCUUGCAAAUAAACAGGAGGGGGCAGUGUUGGGGUAAUGACCUCCAUCCGGGGAGGGUCAGGAAGGGAGCUGUCCUUUACUGGGCACCCAGGAGAUGCACCUGCACAAUUUCAUUCAUUCUCACGACCACCUUGUUAGGUAGGCACUAUCUCUGUGGCUCCAUUUGGCAAAUGAAAAGGAUGAAGGUCUGAGAGGUCAAGUUACACUGCUAGGAAGAGGUUGACCUGGAGUGGAAACCCAGGACUGCCUGUCUGACUGCUGAAUGGGUGCUUUGCAUUCCUUACCUGCCCUCCCAGGGCUCCAGACCGUCCCUCCUGCACAUCUGCCUCUCCCAGGCCGUGCCUGCGUGUCCCCAGCCCCCUCCAACAGCUCCUUGAAUCUCCUCACUCACUCCUCACUCUUGCUUCCUCUUUGGAAUCCAGCCACAGGCUUUUUUCUUCCAUCUGAGGGAGAGAAAAUGGUCUCGUUCCCCACCCCCAGGUCUUUCCAUCCUCUCAUCCAUCCAAACCUAAGCAUCUCUCUCUCCUCCCCUCCCCCUCUCUUAUUUUUUUUUUCUUUCUGUUUAUCCAUCACCAGAAUCCACCCCCCUUCCCUCUUGCCUGUAGGUUCUGUGGCUAUAAUCAAAUCAUAACUUUUAUUAAAUUUAAGAUUACUUUUUAAUGGAAUCAAUUUCUUGUGUGGUGCUUCUCUGCCUGCCCGCGGGCUCUGCCGGCUCUGCGCUCAGCAUCCCCACCCGCACAGUUGUCUCUGCCGCUGGCGUUUCUGGCUAAGCUGCCUCUGAAGGAGGGGCAGGUCUGCCAUCCCUAAACACACACAGAGAAACACACACACACAUGCACACACUCCCACACACACACCAAGAUGCACCUUCCUGCAAGGCCCAGACACACAGCCGCCAAGCCCCAGGUGCCCACGCUGAGCGGCAGGGAGUGGGAGAGGGGCAGGGGCAGGAGGAGAGAGCUGCAGAGAGAAAGACUGAGGGUGCAAAACAAACGCGGAGCCGAGCAGACAUUUCUCAGCCUGUUAAUUUCCUACAGUUCUGUUUUCCAGCCUCAGAAACAAGCUGGUUUCUGCCAGUCCACCCCCUUCCCUCUGACUGCAUUGUGCAGCUGCUGAGCAGAGAGAAGUUGCAGGGAGGAGGGGGUUCCACAGGAGAAGCGAAGAGACUCAGGUUUUCAUACGAUUUAUCAAAGUACAGGCAAGAUGCAGAGAUGCUUCUGAAGCUGUGACCCCAAAAAGAAGCUCAACUGGGAGAUUUGCAGUCUGGACCAGUCUAACCCUACAGGAGUAGGAAAAAACUCAAGAAUGCAAACAAGGGGCAGAACUGGAAAAGGCUGGUUCUGGUAGUGAAACCCUCAUGUGCCCAAACUUGGGAGCAGAUGCCAACAUGGCUGCAGUCACAGUACAACCAGGAUCGGCGGCUCAGCCCCAUCAGGCUGUACUUUGGAGCCCAGCAGCUUCCUUGGAGAGAGGGACAGCUGGAGCCUCCUCUCCCAGGCAAGAACUCACCUCUCAACUUUCUAUUACCCCUAAAAGGAGGCUGUUUCAACGGGCUCAGCAACUCCUUCGGUUUGACCCCUGACACAAGCAUGCCCUGCUGAAUCUACACCUGGACCUAUAGACUUGUAGAGUCCUUUCUGGGGCUGGAUGUUCCCACAGGACAAUUACCAGUCAUGCAUACAGAGCUUUGCUGCCCAAGGGGACUUUCUGAGGGCUGAAUAUUAUUUACUUCAACUCUCCUUUGACAAGGCACCUGAGGCCCAGAUGGGGAAAGUCACACAGGACUGUGAUGGGGCCUGAUCGAGAUCUCCUGAAUCUUCCCAGUGCUGCUUGCUGUGCUUUGUGGCCCUUCCUCUGGCUGUAACUGUAACCCCACCUAUACCUUUGGUUGCACAUGCUCAUACAGCGCUUACCAUGAGCCACCCUCUGAGGCAGGUACUAUUAUGAUUCCCAUUUUACAGCUGAGGAGGCUGAGGCUCAGAGAGGUUAAAUACUUCCCUAAGCUAGUAUGUGGUCGAGCUAGAAUUUGAAACCAGAAUAUCCUGCCCCAGAAUCUAGACUCCUAACCACUGGGCUGUGCUACCUCUCUUCUCUGGAAGCUUCACCUGUACCUGGACACAUUUACCUUCACUUUCCUCUUCUCCUGUCCUUAGCUUUCACCACCACUUUCACAAUUUCUCAUUUCAGGCUAAGCCAGAUAAUCACCCCAGACACAAGGGCAGGCUCAGCACUGCUAUCAAAAUCCCUUUUCCUUUUAUCUUCUCCAUCACCAUCUUAGCCUUAUCGCGUUCACUAUCAUGAUCAACUUCACCAUUUAUAAAGUCUCUAAUUGCAAAUGACUGUGUACCUAUAGACCAAUGCAGAUCUAACCCCUGCCUUGGGAUGGGAGGAUGGGGCUUACAGUCAAACCAAACAGCAGUUUAAGCCACAUAUACUCCUCCCUUUGUAAGUAAAGGUACGAAACCAGAAUGUGGAAGGCAGUCUUCUUCUUAAGAGAUUUUUCUGCAAUAAGAUGGAGGUGGUGAAGGAGAAGUUUCGAACAGCCAAAGAGUGCCUGCUGAGGGAAAUUAAUCAAUGGCCAAGAAGAUUGCUUGUCAUCUUUCAAUAUCUAUAAGAAAUAACGAGCCUCCAGAGAGGGGGCUAGAGCUCCAAGGGAAAAGAAGACCAGUGGGUACUCUGUCCAACUCAUGCCUCUAAGGAGCUACAGGAGAAAGAUGGAGCCAUAGGCAGCUUCCACCCCUUUGGGUGGUGGCCAACACCCAUCUCCCCAGCCACAGUAUCUCUCAAAGCCCCUGGAAGCCAGAAGCAAGCAACACUGCCCAGGAGUUUUAAAACUGAUUCUUCCCUUAAGCUCAAGUCCCACCCACCUCCCAACCCAAUGAGCUUGCUGGUUGGCUGUCCAUGAGUGUUGGCUGCCAGAGGUGCCAUCAUCUAGCACAGGAUCUACAGGAAAGAGGGCAAUGGCUUCCCGGACCAGAGUCUCCACCCAGAAUUCCAGCCAAGGCCCCAGAGCUCCCAGGACCUGGAGAAUUUGUUCCCCCUG
rnacentral:lncRNA from 1 species